ACGCGCGAAACCUUACCCAGGCUUGACAUCUCCGGAACCUCGCGGAAACGUGAGGGUGCCUUCUCACGAAGGAGCCGGAUGACAGGUGCUGCAUGGCUGUCGUCAGCUCGUGCUGUGAGGUGUUCGGUUAAGUCCGGCAACGAGCGCAACCCCUGUCGCUAGUUACCAUCAUUCAGUUGGGGACUCUAGCGAGACUGCCGCGUGAUAAACCGGAGGAAGGUGGGGAUGACGUCAAGUCCUCAUGGCCCUU
rnacentral:rRNA from 1 species